AUUGAACGCUGGCGGCAGGCCUAACACAUGCAAGUCGAACGAGUGGCGGACGGGUGAGUAAUGUCUGGGAAACUGCCCGCUGGAGGGGGAUAACUACUGGAAACGGUAGCUAAUACCGCAUACCAUCGGAUGUGCCCAGAUUGGAUUAGCUAGUAGGUGGGGUAACGGCUCACCUAGGCGACGAUCCCUAGCUGGUCUGAGAGGAGGACCAGCCACACUGGAACUGAGACACGUGCCAGAAUCCUACGUGAUGAAGCAGUGGGUAAUAUUGCACAAUUGGCGCAAGCCGGAUGCAGCCAGGCCGCGUGUAUGAAGAAGGCCUUCGGGUUGUAAAGUACUUUCAGCGAGGAGGCGUUACUCGCAGAAGAAGCACCGGCUAACUCCGUGCCAGCAGCCGCGGUAAUAC
rnacentral:rRNA from 1 species